rnacentral:lncRNA from 1 species
AAGAAAAUCUUCCCUUUUAGGAGUUCCCAUCAUGGCUCAGCAGAAAUGAAUCUGACUAAUAUCCAUGAGGACGCAGGUUUGAUCCCUGGCCUUGCUCAGUGGGUUAAGGAUCCAGUGUUGCUAUGAGCUGUGGUCUAGGUCGAGGUUUUGGCUCAGAUUGUGCAUGGCUGUGGCUGUGGUGUAGGCUCAGAUUCGACCCCUAGCCUGGGAACUUCCAUAUGCCAUGGAUGUCGCCCGAAAAAAAAAAAAAAAGGAAAAAUAGAAAAACUUCCCUUUUGCUCCUGCGGCAGUAAUUCUCAUUUUCAGCUGUGGCUUAAUUUCUCUUUCUGUCUUUAAGUAUCUUUUUGAUUAACUGCAAAGUUUGAUGGAGACCAGUAGCAUAAUUAAAUCAGUGCAUAUUGUCAGCUGGGUCUUUCCUGAGCUGCUGAGAGGUUGCUAGGAAACUCUCUUAAAGGUACAAUUGCCUUAACUGCAAAACCCCAAAUGCCCAAAUAAUAUUUUUAUUAAUUCAUAAAAAUACAGGCAGGGAUUACAUUUAAAUUUAUAGCAAGAUGAGCACUACAUAUCUCUGGAUGCUUUCAGCUUUACAGAAAUGCAUUUAGAUCCACUUACAAAGAAUGUGCUUUGAAUAACAAUUUAGUGGUUGAGAAUUACUCACUUUUUUUAGGGAGAGUAUUUCUCUGUGUUAUACAACUUGUAUGGAUUUAGAACUGAAAGAAUUCUGAAUUUUAAAUUACCACUAGGAAAUACAGCUUGAUGGUGCCUAUAGUGCUUCAGAAACCCUAUUGUGGUUAUUAUGAUUAUUAUUUGUCAGUUUUUUCAAGUUCAUAAACGUGCCAUCAUCUCUGGUUGAUUUAACAAAACAAAAUCAAGAAACUUACAAAGAAAAACAACUUCAUCUGCAAUAGUUUGAUGUAACGUGGACAGUUGUUUCAGAGGUUAAGUUCUAGCCAGUGGCUUUAACUGAUUGACAUUUCUUCUAACAAUUGCUUUAUGGCUGCAAAUUAUUUUGAUAAAUCUACUCACUGCCCAUCAUCCAGGUGUUCAUUUAUUCAUUCAUUGAACAAGGGUUUGUGGACCUUCUCUUAUGUAAAUUGCAAUUUACUAGAAGUCAAGAGAAUUUUAAGAUGACAGUUCUAUACUAAUGUGGAGAAUGGAUUAAAACAUACAGGAAUUGCAAAUAAGAAGUAAUGAGAGAAUGACAUCACAAAGACGGUCCUUCCUGACUUGGCUCCUCUUCCCAAGAAGAACAACAGACAACUAUGCAUGUACAGACACCACUGAGAGACUAUCAGGACACAGGAGUUAGGCUGAGACACCUCCCGCCCCACACACACCCAGAGAGACUGCAGUGAAGGGUGAGGGGAACAGCGGCACACUGACUGCAAGGCCCUUUCCCAAGGCCAGCCCGGCACCACUCCCACGGCUCCUCCUGUGGCAAAAGAGGGCCCAGCAAUGACAUCCAGCACCACCAGCAGUUGUGGGUCACUUCCCGGGGAUCACAGGAGCACCUGCGGGCUCAACCACUGGGCAUCUGAUGGCGAUGGAGGAAGUAGGGGCGGGGUCUUCCAGCAAGCAGCAUUCAGAGCUGGGCAGACUGAGUGUCCACCUGCAGAGCUCCAGCAGGAAACCCAACCAGCAUCUCUGCUCACCUGCAGCCCCAUUUGGCGGCACAGUCUGGCGAGGAAACUCGGUGACCUGCAAGCCUACCUAAUUCAGGUCUUCAAAGGAAGAGAUCUGCCAGCCCAGGAGCCUGCUCCUGCCCAUUUCAGUGGCAGAGCUGAGUCACAGCCCCGCCGGCUGCAGGUCACAGGGGCUCUCAGCCCCUCCCAACCAGAAAGCCCCUGCAGGAAAAUGGGGCAGUUGCCUGAAGUGGGCUCUCCCAGUCCCACCCAGGAAGAAGUCUGGGUCAGAGCCCCCCCACCCAUGGAGUGUGGGCCCUAGACCCAUCUGACAGGAAGGGCUGACAAGAACACCUGGAAGCUGCACAACCCAGCAACUCCUGACCUGGCAGGAGGGCGGGAGAGUGGGCAGAACUGGUGGCCCCCAGAGCUGUCAGUAGCACUGUCCAGCCACUGAGAACUGGGGCACAGGCAGGCUUGAGUCCAGAGCACUCAUGGCCUUGGAGAUACUCAGUUGAUGAGUCUGAGAAGGGAAACUAAGUAUCCUAGCCCCACUUCCAGCUGAAGAUAGCCUUCAGCCCACUGACCAGGGACUGUAACAGGGCACAUGGGGAGCUGAGAGCCCAGCCAACAGCCCUGCUGACAGUGGCACUUGAACAGAGAGCCCAGCCGUGGCUUUCCCCGUCUGCGGGGCCAAACCCGUGGCCUCUCCUGACCAGGAUAUUCAGCCCACACGCUUGCCUGAGGUGGGUCCCCAAACAAUGAGCCACCCAGGCCCUGUGUCCAGUCCUGUGACCCCACCAGGGAUGGGAAGCUGAUUCCUAGCCCCACCUACUGCUGAGGACACUACCUGGUCCAGACUCUCUAGGAAUUUUGACCAGAGACUCCAGGCAAUAGCAAGGCCAUCCUAUAGGCUCACUUGGGCAGAGGACCAAGUCAGCAGUCCUAUCCGGCUGCUUCCAGCCAGCGGCACACCCCACCAGUCCCGGCCUCAGAACUCAAAUAGCUGCCUCGGCCAAAAACAGACCCUAAAAGCAGGCCCUGCUGCCCAGGGACGUGACCAGCAGAAACAUCCAGAAACCCAAAUUGAGCUGACUGGUGAAGAAGUGGUGAUACCAAAGCGAACCUGCAAAGUCAAAGUCAGGAAGUGGAUACCACUUACUCAAAUGCACGGAUAACCAAUGCAAGGAAUCAGGGAUCACACACACACACACACACACACACACACACAAUCAAAAAUCCUAGAGCUAAACAAUGCAUUAACUGAAGAAUUCAAUAGAGAGCUUCAAAAGCAUAUUCGACCAUGCAGAACCAGGAAUCAAAAAUCUGGAAGUAGGAAAGUAGGACUUUUGAAAUUAUCCACUGAGGGGAGCCAAAAAAAAAAAGGAAUGAAGAAAGCCUAUGAGACUUAUGGGACAAAAUAAAAAAAAAAAAUCCCAAUAUUCAAAUUAUGGGAAUUCCAAAAGAAGA